CUGGUAUUUGAGAAACACAAGGUCAAAGUUCAGAAAAUUGACAAAUUAUUGCCUUUUUAACACGGGAAAAUUGAAAAAAAAUUGCAAAGAUUUUUUGGAGUGUUGGAUAGGCAAUAAUUAGUCAUUUUUCCUUACUGUGUACCUGUUUUUCUCUAAUACAAGGCUUCGAGAGGGAAAACUAAGUUUAGAUUGAUGAAGCAGCAUGAACGCUCCUGUCAGUUGCUAUCUCUCCGACGUGCCAAUCAAUCCAUAGACUUCAGUAUACGGGCGAAAGACUUUCGAACCAUCUACUAUCUGGUUCCAACCGAAGUUUCCUGCAGGACGCGGGAUCUCUGGCAGUUAAUUCCCUAUAGCUAAUGAUUAGCAUCUUGGGGGCGUAAUGCCCUCAACCUAUUCUCACCUUUCAUGGAUAUGAAGUUGCAGUUUCUUUAGUGAUCGGCAACGUGAAUGCCACGUCUAGUGGGCAAUUUUUCGUACCAGAAAUGGCCCCGUGGGAUGAACCAAACUGGCAUUAAACGUGCCUCCGUCCUCCAUCAUGAGACCCCCUAGAGCCGGUUGGGUGAUAUUUGAUAGGCAGGAUGUGGCCAUGGUAGUCCGGAC
rnacentral:ncRNA from 1 species